UUUAUUUAAAACACCACGUUCUCUAGACGACUUAGUGAAACUUCCUUGCCAAUAGGAGAUACGUCUCAUGAUUAUUUCCAAAAUCAUAAAUGUAAAACCCGCAACUGCAGGACUCAAAAUACCCUGCACAAUUGACCAAAAACCGGAACGAGAUGUAAGCUGCUGCUGAAGCCAGGGCCAAACACUACCAAGGUGAUAUAAAUUUGAUAUGAAUAUUGCAACCAAAGCGGUUUCAAUAAUCCAAGCGAUAAUUAAAAUGAUAAACAAUAUGUUUCCAAUCAUUCGAUUGAAUAACCUUGUGCUCCACGCCAAUGACAAAUUAUCCCAUAAGAAGUCGGAAGGUUCUGGAGCCAUACUAACUGAAGCACCAGCAACUCUGGAAUUAUGGCGGGCGGUAUCAUGGGCUAUAUAAGAUGAUUUGUACGUUAUGAAUCCGUAGUGCUCAAAUUCAUUUUCAUAUAGCGACUCCCGAGCAGCAUCGACCCGUAAACCGUAAUUUUCAAUUUUAGCAGAAUAGUAGUCAAUUGCGUCAACCUUUUCAGAAGUGAGUAAGCCUUGCUUUACUCUCCGUACUGGUCUAUCAUCUGGCAACUUUUUAGGAUUCUUAAAAAAUUUUGCCAAAACCGCUUCCAAAGAUCGGACAGCAUUAUCAUGCUUUUUAAGUAUUUUUGGAAGAUUUUUUAUAGCGUGACAAAUAUGAACAUGCAUAGGUGCUUCAGAGCUUUUCAAACGUGAAGCAAGUAUAGAUAACCCAUUAUUGGAACGCAUGGUUGUUGGGAUAUCCAUAAUUAACAAGGAACGAGAACUCAUUGAUUGUUGAUAAGUAGGACUUCUGUAAUACCUUUGUCUAAUUCUCAUCACAAUUUGGUAAUAUCUGGCUAACAAGAACAAGACAAGGACAUUAAAGACAUAACAGAUAACAACAUGAGCCCAUGUCCAAUUUCCAGUAACAUUUUGAAUUGACAGUUUCGCAUAAGCAUUUUGCGAGUCAGAAUUAGCAAGAGUUUUGUUAGUAGCGACAAUGUUGAUUGGAAUAAGGAUAGUACAACAAAUUGCAGCUAAAAUUAGGAAAACAUCCCUACAAAAUCGAGAGAAAAGCAGAGAGAUAACGGCAUCCGCUCCCAUAUUAUACAAGCAAUCCUCUACUUUGAUAGACCAUAAUGGCUCAAUCCAACCCCAAAGACUCUUCUUCAUAGGAGGAAUGCAUCGAUCGUAUGUGCUAGUCAACGACGUUAGGCGUGGAGUAUAAACAUACUUAAACUUUGUCCUGAGAAGCGUAAAUAUGCACAGCAAAAUCACUGAAAGUAGAGAAGAAAAACCAAGAGACACAAGAAUUGAAUACUUGUCAAAUUUAGCUUGGGCAGGAUUGUCAUUUAGAAGACUAUUAAUGACAACCUCGAUGAAAGAUUCACGUUUCUCAAUUACCAUUGUAAAAACCAUAUGAGAAUAGAGUGCUUUAUGAAGAAAACGAAAAUCCAAAAUUGCUUCAAAUCACUUCUUCAAUCGGUCACUGACUCUACUUCAAUUCUCCUGACUAUAAUAGAGUGCUAAAACGUAAAAGCAAAAAAAUUUCUCAAUACUGAGAAUAGAAAAUCAAACACGGUAUGGUUAUGUCUGAAGGUUUUAAAGACUUCGCAAAUGAAAAGAUAAAGCUGUGCAAAUGAUUUUGAUCAAAGAAAAAAAACCGAGUCCGAUAAUUAUUACGGUCUUUAAAAAACGAGUGAUAAACGGGGUGUUUACGAUUAAGAUAUAUGAUGCCAAUAAAGAUUUGGGAAGGUUUUAAUAACAAAAGCUUUUGCUUUGAAUCAUAUGAAGCGAACGUAAAGAAAAUAAUUUACUUGGAAUGUGUAAACAAAAAUUUUAAAAAAUCGAAAUCUUAAUUGAUCUUUAAAUCAAUCAAUAUAUACAUUCGAAUCCGUAAAAAAACAAUUACAAGAAUAUCUGGAACCGUGAAGACAAUUCCUCGUUGUAUUUUUAAAGAAAAAACAGCUCAAAAUGUGCUGUUCUAUCGCACUAAAGGCAACUGAUAAAGCUUUCAAGGCUUUUAAAAGCAAAUUAUGUGGUAUAUUUAUUAGUCCUAAAGAUUGUGUGUUUAGUUCAGCGCAAGUUACUAGCAGCCGUCGAAACUGCAACUUUGUAUGUAUCAAAUUAUUAAGUGACCUCGGAAACCUGCAACUAGACAAAUGUGGCUUAUAGACGAACCUCAGAUGACUUUACUUGGUAAAGGAGAAGAGCUAAUCUAUAAUCCUUUUAUACAUAAACAAAGCGUAUACUUUACUAUAAAAACAAAGAAACUUAAUCAUUUGCAGACAAAGAAAUUUUUCAAGAACAAAGGGAUUCUGGCAUCUCAAGGGAAAUACACCACCAUAAAAAUAUGAGUAUACAAUUAUCUAAAAACUUUUAUUGUUAAAAAAAGAAAAAAGUAUAUAGUGUUACUAUCAGUUUCUUUAAUAAAUAGAGUGAGUAAUUAAUAUGGAUAAAGUAGGAAUAUCACAGUUGUAGGGAGAUUCAUAAUAAACUUUGAGAUUUCAACACGAUUUGAUAGUUUAUUUAUAAGAUUUGAGUUAUAGAAAACUUCCCAGAAUCAAAAAAAAAAACCUUUAUGCAAAACGAAUCUCAUUGUGCGCUCGAUCUAACGCUAAGGCAAUCCUUUUUACUUCUUUUUGAGCAGCUUCAACGUCACCAUACAGUAAAGCAUCAAAGAUAGAGGGAAAUAGCUGUGAAUGUGAAUUUCUUAAAUUGGGGCCGUAUAUUAAAUGUUUGUACCAUUCAUGUCCAGGAAGGCCAGCUUCAUCAAGGAAUGAUCUCUCGAAUCUGGCAAGUUUAGCAUUGUACCCUUCAAGCUCUGGAUGUUUUUUAACAGAGACGGUAUAGCUAUUGUGCAUCAUUAACGAUUUCCACUCUCUGAUUUCAUCCUCAAAACGAAUUAAGGAUUCUAAAAGCUCAGAGAAUUCUUCAUUGAUCUUGCGCAAGUCAAGUGCAUUAGCCCCUGGUAUCUCAGGUAUACGUUUCAGCAUUUCACCAACACCAUUUAUCUCGUCUUCAAGGUCGUAAGGAACAACCGGGUCAUUCGCUAAAAACAAUAUUAGAUAGCUCCAUAUUUUCCCUAAUCUAGCAGCAUUCUCCCAAUAUUCAGAACCAAAAGUAUCAAUCCAACUAACAGUAUCUUCACAAGAGCCGAGAAAUGGCAUGGGUGUUGGAUUUUCUUCAUUCCUUUCGAAUGCUAAGUUAACUACCGGGAUUCCAGCAAAAGUUAAAAACGAAGUAAGGUCCGAUGUGUAAUCGAAGUCAUCGGUUAUGAUGUUCGCAGCUUUCAUCUCGUCUUCCUCAUUCGCAACAUCAAAUGCUCGUUGGAUAACCUUUUUUAAGCCAGGAACGGUUCGUGCAGUAAAAGUAUCACCACUGACUGCAACAUCCACAUUUAUGUACGCAACCGCUUUAGCUUCUAAACUUUCUUUCCAGUAUUCCAAAAAUUCUGUGCUACCAAUUGCAUUGAACUGCCUUGCAUCCCAGCUGGCAAAUACAAUAGUACGUCUUGGCUUCCAAGAUAAAUCUUGCGCCAUGUUUGCAAACGUUGAGAUAACAUCAAUUAAAAGAGAAGUGCCGACGGAUGAAUCAGAGGCACCCGUACACCAGGAGUCCCGUGGAGCUCCUACUACCAAAAUUUGAUCUGACUCAUAACCAUCAAUUUGAGCCAUUAUGUUUAUUAUUUUUUGCUUAUCCUCAAUAUCUUGCAAAACAUUAACUUCUAAACCGGGAGAGCUUAUUUUGGAGCCAGUCCAAACUUCUGAUAAGACAGGAGCCAGGUCUUGACACCAGUUGGAAUCUUUGACUAAAUGUCCAUGCCCCUGUAGUCUCUUGAGUAAUUCUAUACCGUCAUUGAAAGUGAUUGGAAUGCUCACUAUAGAAGGCAAUACAUUCGCGUCUUUUGGAGAAAUACGGUUUGUUUCUUCAUGUGCAGACCAACCUGGUGUUAACGGAUCGCCGACGUAAUAAUAAUGGUUAGCGACGCUUCCUCGAUAUAGAGAAUUUGCGGAUGGAUAAGGUCCAGCUGGGUACACCUGAUUUAAAUUAUCGAGAGACGUCAGAUAAGUAUCUUCGAAAAUCAAAAUAGCAGAGGCGUUGUACUUUUCUGCAUUAGCCGUCGCCAAUGCAAAAUCGCUUUGGUUUGCUCGAACAAGUACGAUGCUAGAUUCUACGUAAAUACCACUAUUUACAAGCCACUCGAAAUCCUCAAUUCUUCCACGGUUAGCAUACACAAGAGGUGCAUUCACGAAACCAGAUGGGCUGCCUCCAAAAGUUGCCGGAGUCGGGAUCGAUACCCCGUCAUAGCCCCCAACUUGGUAAGACUCAAUCAAAGAUGGAUGAAAAGAAUCAUCGCCGUCUAUCGAAAGUGAUACUAAUUGAGGGAAGUUAAGAUAAGCAUAAAAUUCUCUAAAAUCAACAAUAGUUCCUUUUUCAUAAUACAACCUGUUCAUGAUCAUCUGAAGAAGUGAGGAGUCCCCAACAGUACCAGCUAAAUGAGGGAUUGAAGAAAGAGUCAUUACUUGUUGCCGGGUAUCUGAUAUAUCGCAUCCCUUGAUGUAAUUUAAAAGAACAUCUUCACCGUAAUGAUGAACAGAACGCCAAGCAGGUACACCAUCAAAGUAGCCGUAAUAACUAGCAAGAAUAAUUACUGUUGCAAUCACAGCUAGAUAUAAAAAUUGAAACGGGAUGCGGUGAAAGGUAGAAGCAAAUCUGAUCUCAAAAGAAUGACAAGCAGACUCCCAUCCUUCAUGAAUGGCAGCAAGUUUUGUACGCAACAACGGAAACCUUGAACUGUCUUCAGAUGGGGGUUCGAUAAUCUCCAUUUCUUCCAUCGAAGUCUCAUUCUGCUCACCGUCGUUUGGCGGCGCAGAAUUGUUUAAAGCAGAAUGAAGAGCUACUUCUUCAUAGCUAGGAGGGUCCUUUGG